rnacentral:rRNA from 2 species
UGCAGUCGAACGGCAGCGCGGGGCAACCUGGCGGCGAGUGGCGAACGGGUGAGUAAUAUAUCGGAACGUACCCAAGAGUGGGGGAUAACGUAGCGAAAGUUACGCUAAUACCGCAUACGAUCUAAGGAUGAAAGCAGGGGACCGCAAGGCCUUGUGCUCCUGGAGCGGCCGAUAUCUGAUUAGCUAGUUGGUGAGGUAAAGGCUCACCAAGGCGACGAUCAGUAGCUGGUCUGAGAGGACGACCAGCCACACUGGAACUGAGACACGGUCCAGACUCCUACGGGAGGCAGCAGUGGGGAAUUUUGGACAAUGGGCGCAAGCCUGAUCCAGCAAUGCCGCGUGAGUGAAGAAGGCCUUCGGGUUGUAAAGCUCUUUUGUCAGGGAAGAAACGGUGGAGGCUAAUAUCCUCCGCUAAUGACGGUACCUGAAGAAUAAGCACCGGCUAACUACGUGCCAGCAGCCGCGGUAAUACGUAGGGUGCAAGCGUUAAUCGGAAUUACUGGGCGUAAAGCGUGCGCAGGCGGUUUUGUAAGUCUGUCGUGAAAGCCCCGGGCUCAACCUGGGAAUUGCGAUGGAGACUGCAAGGCUUGAAUCUGGCAGAGGGGGGUAGAAUUCCACGUGUAGCAGUGAAAUGCGUAGAGAUGUGGAGGAACACCGAUGGCGAAGGCAGCCCCCUGGGUCAAGAUUGACGCUCAUGCACGAAAGCGUGGGGAGCAAACAGGAUUAGAUACCCUGGUAGUCCACGCCCUAAACGAUGUCUACUAGUUGUC